UUCUCAUCAAGAGAGGUGGAGGGACUGGCCCGAUGAAACCCGGCAACCUCACGUAAGGUGCCAAGUCCUGCGGGGAAGUGUCUUUCCUGACAGAUGAGGU
rnacentral:ncRNA from 2 species